UUACGGUCAUAUCACAUUGAAACACCGGGUCUCGUACGAUCAUUGAAGUUAAGGAACGUUGAGCCUGGUCAAUACCUAGAUGGGUAAGCGCUUAGGACUACCAGGUUCUGUA